AAGCCUCGCCUGUUUACCAAAAACAUCGCCUUCUGCUUAUUAACUAUAGAAGGUCCUGCCUGCCCUGUGACUUAGGUUUAACGGCCGCGGUAUUUUGACCGUGCAAAGGUAGCGUAAUCACUUGUCUUUUAAUUGGAGACCUGUAUGAAUGGCAAAACGAGGGCUUAUCUGUCUCUCCCUUUUAAUCAAUGAAAUUGAUCUCCCCGUGCAGAAGCGGGGAUAAAAACAUAAGACGAGAAGACCCUGUGGAGCUUUAAACACAAGGUGGGAACAUAAAGGAAUUAUUAACCCAAAUAAUAGAACUAUAUAUUACCCACCCCCUGUUUUUGGUUGGGGCGACCACGGAGGAACAAUCAUCCCCCGAGAGGACUGAACAAACUAGUUUUAGACAAAAGAUUUACUCAUCUACCACACAGAAUUUCUGACCCCCGGAUCCGGCAUGACCGACCAACGAACCAAGUUACCCCAGGGAUAACAGCGCAAUCCUCUUCCAGAGCCCAUAUCGACAAGGGGGUUUACGACCUCGAUGUUGGAUCAGGACAUCCUAAUGGUGUAGACGCUAUUAAGGGUUCGUUUGUUCAACGAUUAAAGUCCUACGUGAUCUGAGUUCAG
rnacentral:rRNA from 1 species